rnacentral:rRNA from 1 species
CAGUCGCCGCGGGAAUACGUAGGUGGCAAGCGUUGUCCGGAAUUAUUGGGCGUAAAGGGCUCGCAGGCGGUUUCUUAAGUCUGAUGUGAAAGCCCCCGGCUCAACCGGGGAGAGUCAUUGGAAACUGGGAAACUUGAGUGCAGAAGAGGAGAGUGGAAUUCCACGUGUAGCGGUGAAAUGCGUAGAGAUGUGGAGGAACACCAGUGGCGAAGGCGACUCUCUGGUCUGUAACUGACGCUGAGGAGCGAAAGCGUGGGGAGCGAACAGGAUUAGAUACCCCCGUAGUCCCUGUCUCUUAUAC